rnacentral:rRNA from 1 species
UGGGGAAUAUUGCGCAAUGGGGGGAACCCUGACGCAGCCAUGCCGCGUGAAUGAAGAAGGCCUUCGGGUUGUAAAGUUCUUUCGGUAUUGAAGAAGGUUGAUGUGUUAAUAGCACAUCAAAUUGACGUUAAAUACAGAAGAAGCANNGGCAAAACNCGGGCCAGCAGCCGCGGUAAUACGGAGGGUGCGAGCGUUAAUCGGAAUAACUGGGCGUAAAGGGCACGCAGGCGGUUAUUUAAGUGAGGUGUGAAAGCCCCGGGCUUAACCUGGGAAUUGCAUUUCAGACUGGGUAACUAGAGUACUUUAGGGAGGGGUAGAAUUCCACGUGUAGCGGUGAAAUGCGUAGAGAUGUGGAGGAAUACCGAAGGCGAAGGCAGCCCCUUGGGAAUGUACUGACGCUCAUGUGCGAAAGCGUGGGGAGCAAACAGGAUUAGAUACCCUGGUAGUCCACGCUGUAAACGCUGUCGAUUUGGGGGUUGGGGUUUAACUCUGGCGCCCGUAGCUAACGUGAUAAAUCGACCGCCUGGGGAGUACGGCCGCAAGGUUA